UACCAGCACCCCGAGUGGUCGGGACGAUUAUUGGGCCUAAAGCAUCCGUAGCCGGUUCUUUAAGUCCUCCGUUAAAUCCACCUGCUUAACAGAUGGGCUGCGGAGGAUACUAUAGAGCUAGGAGGCGGGAGAGGCAAGCGGUACUCGAUGGGUAGGGGUAAAAUCCGUUGAUCCAUUGAAGACCACCAGUGGCGAAGGCGGCUUGCCAGAACGCGCUCGACGGUGAGGGAUGAAAGCUGGGGGAGCAAACCGG
rnacentral:rRNA from 1 species